rnacentral:rRNA from 1 species
UGCCAGACUCCUACGGGAGGCAGCAGUGGGGAAUAUUGCACAAUGGGGGAAACCCUGAUGCAGCGACGCCGCGUGAGUGAAGAAGUAUUUCGGUAUGUAAAGCUCUAUCAGCAGGGAAGAAGUUGACGGUACCUGAGUAAGAAGCCCCGGCUAACUACGUGCCAGCAGCCGCGGUAAUACGUAGGGGGCAAGCGUUAUCCGGAUUUACUGGGUGUAAAGGGAGCGUAGACGGCAGUGCAAGUCUGAAGUGAAAGCCCCGGGCUUAACCCGGGAAUUGCUUUGGAAACUGUACGGCUGGAGUGCUGGAGGGGUAAGCGGAAUUCCUAGUGUAGCGGUGAAAUGCGUAGAUAUUAGGAGGAACACCAGUGGCGAAGGCGGCUUACUGGACAGUAACUGACGUUGAGGCUCGAAAGCGUGGGGAGCAAACAGGAUUAGAUACCCCAGUAU